UAACAAGGAUUCCCCUAGUAACUGCGAGUGAAGCGGGAAGAGCUCAAAUUUAAAAUCUGGCGGCCUCCUGGUCGUCCGAGUUGUAGUCUGGAGAAGUGUUAUCCGCGUCGGACCGUGUACAAGUCUCCUGGAACGGAGCGUCAUAGAGGGUGAGAAUCCCGUCCAUGACACGGACGCCCGAUGCUAUGUGAGGCACUCUCAAAGAGUCGAGUUGUUUGGGAAUGCAGCUCAAAAUGGGUGGUAAAUUCCAUCUAAAGCUAAAUAUUGGCGAGAGACCGAUAGCGAACAAGUACCGUGAGGGAAAGAUGAAAAGCACUUUGGAAAGAGAGUUAAACAGUACGUGAAAUUGUUGAAAGGGAAACGCUUGAAGUCAGUCGCGUCCCGUGGAACUCAGCCUGGUUUCGACCUGGUGUACUUUCCAUGUGGACGGGUCAACAUCAAUUUCGACCGGUGGACAAGGGCGAGGGGAAUGUAGCGUGGCUUCGGCGACGUGUUAUAGCCCCCCGUCGUAUACACUGGCUGGGAUUGAGGACCGCAGCACGCCCUUGUGGCCGGGGGUUCGCCCCACGUAAACGUGCUUAGGAUGUUGGCAUAAUGGCUUUAAGCGAC
rnacentral:rRNA from 1 species